rnacentral:rRNA from 1 species
UACAGAGGUCUCAAGCGUUGUUCGGAUUCAUUGGGCGUAAAGGGUGCGUAGGCGGCGUGGUAAGUCGGGUGUGAAAUCUCGGAGCUUAACUCCGAAACUGCAUUCGAUACUGCCGUGCUUGAGGACUGGAGAGGAGACUGGAAUUUACGGUGUAGCGGUGAAAUGCGUAGAUAUCGUAAGGAAGACCAGUGGCGAAGGCGGGUCUCUGGACAGUUCCUGACGCUGAAGCACGAAGGCCAGGGGAGCAAACGGG